rnacentral:rRNA from 1 species
UACGUAGGGAGCAAGCGUUGUCCGGAAUCAUUGGGCGUAGAGCGCGCGUAGGCGGCCUCAUAAGUCCGUUGUGAAAGUCGAAGGCUCAACCUUUGAAAGCCGAUGGAUACUGUGAGGCUAGAGUCCGGAAGAGGCGAGUGGAAUUCCUGGUGUAGCGGUGGAAUGCGCAGAUAUCAGGAGGAACACCAAUAGCGAAGGCAGCUCGCUGGGACGGUACUGACGCUAAGGCGCGAAAGCGUGGGGAGCGAACAGG